rnacentral:tRNA from 1 species
GCCGACGUAGCUCAGACGGUAGAGCAACGCAUUCGUAAUGCGUGGGUCGGGGGUUCAAGUCCCUCCGUCGGCA